rnacentral:rRNA from 1 species
GGGUCAGUAGGUUGGUCGUGUCACCGGUACGUACUGGUCUCACUGAUUCCUCCUUCCUGAAGAACCGUAACGCCAUUAAUUUGGUGUUGCGGGGAAACAGGACUGUUACUUUGAAAAAAUUAGAGUGUUUAAAGCAAGCUAACGCUUGAAUACAUUAGCAUGGAAUAAUGAAAUAGGACGAUCGAUCCUAUUUUGUUGGUUUCUAGGAUUGACGUA